rnacentral:rRNA from 1 species
ACACCUUACUGGGGCAAGACGACAUGAUGAUUGACAAAAUGAUAGAUUUUUCUUGAUUUUUCGGGUGGUGGUGCAUGGCCGAUCUUAGUUGGUGGGGUGACUUGUCUGGUUUAUUUCGAUAACGAGCGAGAUCCGAACUCUUUAGUUGUUUAACAAUAAUUCAAUUGUUGAUUCUCUAAAGGGACUAUCAGUUAAAACUGAAGGGAGUUUCGGGCUAAAU